CGCGUAGGCGGCUUGAUAAGUCAGAUGUGAAAGUCCAUGGCUCAACUGUGGAAGUGCAUUUGAAACUGUCUCGCUUGAGUAUCGGAGGGGAGUGUGGAAUUCCCGGUGUAGAGGUGAAAUUCGUAGAGAUCGGGAGGAACACCUGUGGCGAAGGCGACACUCUGGACGAAUACUGACGCUGAGGCGCGAAAGCGUGGGGAGCAAACAGGAUUAGAUACCCUGGUAGUCC
rnacentral:rRNA from 1 species